UGGAAUAUCAUUAUAUUUGACUUUUUAGAAGACGCAGCUGGAUUAGAGCGGGUAGUGUCACAGGUCAGGAGAUUCAGAGCAGUGAUCGUGCGGUUUAGAGAAUUAGUAUUAGAUUUAUAACAUUUGUUUUGUGAGGAGAAUUAUACUCUUUGACUUUUAUAAUUUGUUUUAGUGAGAGUGUGCUGUAAUAAGUAGCUUGAGGAUUUGGUUUAUGUAAUAUCAAGAGGUGUAAUUAGUGGUUGCUUCUGAGAGAAAAAUUCAGAAUGUAUUUGUAUCAUUAUUAGUCAUGUUCCGGAUUAGAAUCCUUAUUUCAAAAUUCGGGGUGUGACAGUUUGGUAUCAGAGCGUAAGGUGCAUAUUCAAUGAUUUGUCAAUACUUUCCGAGUGAUGGCCCGUCUGCAGCGGAUCCCCAUCGUGUGCUCUUCGGUAUUGAUCAAGUCAUUGGUAUGUAAGAGUGUAGAAGUCAUCUAGGACGUUAGGUCGUAUUAGGAGUUAUGAAAUACCUCGGUGUGUUAGUAUAUUGGUGAUUAGGUACUUGUAUUGACUUAUGCUAUGUUUGAGUGUUGUACAAGUUUAACUACGUAUUGCUAUGCUUCUAAAGUAAUGGACAGAUUGGGAAGCAUAAUUGAGGAUUGAGGUAGACCCUUAGGUUGAGGUAUAGUCUUAUGUAGGAACAUGAUCUUUCUAUGGAGACAGUUGAGGAUGAGGUGUAGGCAUUAGAGGUUGAGCUGCCUGUUCCACUUGUGGUUGAUGUGAUUAAUUCUAUUCUUAUGUUGAAAUGGUGAAAAUGUUGAGGAUUUAGGAGUAGUUGGAAAGAGAAUUGAUCUCACAACUCAAAGAUGAUAGGAGUGUGAGAGAUUAUGAGAUAGAGUUCUCAAGACUAUGGGUUUAGGAGACGAAUGGAUGCUAACUUUAGCAAGGUUUAAGGAAUAGAUCGAGGUGCCUUAUUAGCCUUAAGAUUUUCCUUACUAAGGCGAAGUGUGAUACUAGAGAACCUAAUCCCUUGGUGUGUUGUGACAGGCUAUGCUUGAUGUCUAUAGUAGACUUUUGCGUGUGACUUCUUUUUGUAAAGUGUUGUUCUAUGUGAUGCCAAUUAUGGAAGAUGUGUGUAGCAUAAUUUGCUAA
rnacentral:lncRNA from 1 species